rnacentral:rRNA from 1 species
AUACAGAGGGUGCGAGCGUUAAUCGGAAUUACUGGGCGUAAAGCGCGCGUAGGCGGUUAUUUAAGUCAGAUGUGAAAUCCCUGGGCUCAACCUAGGAACUGCAUCUGAAACUGGGUAACUAGAGUUUAGGAGAGGGGAGUAGAAUUUCGGGUGUAGCGGUGAAAUGCAUAGAGAUCUGAAGGAAUACCAGUGGCGAAGGCGACUUCCUGGCCAAAAACUGACGCUGAGGUGCGAAAGCGUGGGUAGCAAACGGGAUUAGAAACCCUAGUAGUCC